rnacentral:rRNA from 1 species
GCAAAUCUAAGCAAUUGCGUUAUACCCACAAAAUGCAACUCUUAUAAUGAAAUCCAAGCAACUACUCUGACCCCUAUAGUGAGAAGUCACGUUGUGAAUCCAACACUACCCACCCCUAGUGAAAUCCAAGCAGAAUGUAUGAUAGACUUACACUUGUACAUGUUGUUUUGUUCUGCCCACCAAGUUCCCUGAAACAUGAUCCUUCUAAACAAACGAUAAUACAUGCUAUUUUCUGUACAAUUAUAUUCUAGAAAAUAACUUUUUGGAAACUUAGAUAGUUUGUUAGAAAUCAAACUGCCUGAUGACCCACGUAGUUGCAUUCACAUGAUGCAUGCUUUGACUGAUUCUUUUGUUUAGGAUCACAAAUAUGUGAUCAGUGUCAUUUCAACAUACAAAGCUGACUGCAUGAAGAACCUUGUGUGUAUGCAACAUACAGGAGGGAAUCAACAAAACAAGAGAUGGUGGACAACUAUAAAUGGUUAUCAAUUGGAUCCGAUCUGCGCAUGUAGGAAACAUCAUCCUCAAAGUGCCAUCUGAUCUUGUGAGUAACUCUAACACUAGCGAAAAGCAACCACUUGGCCUGCCGCCGCUCAUUAACAUCUCCUCUCUCGUCAGCUACAAAUUUUUGAGCAACUCUCACAGCCGUAUUUAGAUACUACAUACUACUAGUUCAGUGAAUACAACUUCUGUAGAAAUUUACCCCUCUAGCAGCAAGCCAGCCGUGAACACCAGCCGUGCCCAUCUAGUCGAAGAACGCAGAAGGCCCAGAGCUCCGGGUGCGCCCUAGUGGACACGCACAUGGACUCGUUCGCCCCGACCAACAACUCGGCGUCGCAGAUGUCGCUCCUUCCAUUGCGCCCCGUCCAGGAGCCUUACCUUGAAGGACCACGCCAGCCGGCACCCUCCCGUGGUCUCCAUGGAAUCCUUGAGCACCAACAUCAGCGCCCGUCUAGUGGAGGGAGGUAGGACGGGCUGGCGACCACGGCGCAGGGGACCGAGGGAGCAGGCCCUGCCGGGAGUGGCGUGCAUCCCCAGGAGGAGGGGGUGGUCGGGCGCGUGCUGGGCGUGGCGCUCGUCGCCUGGAGUAGGUAAGAGGAAGCGGCGGCCGGGGGUUUGCUUGGCGCGACGCGCGUAGAAGGGAGGAGGACCAAGCGGCAGCCCCGUAGCCGGGAGGAGGAGCGCGACGGAGGGGCUUGGCCCGGAGGAGCAGCGGGGGCGGUGGUCGUAACUCCAUGCCUCCAUGGAGGAGGCUUGGGGCAGCAGGUGGUGGGUGAGUGGAUAAGGAGUGCGAGGUGGCUGACUUUGUCUAUAGCGCGUGCGCUCAAGAGAAAAUU